GGGGAUAUAGCUCAGUGGUAAGCGCAUGCACGAGGUCCUGGGUUCAAUCCUCAGUACCUCCA
rnacentral:tRNA from 1 species